AUUGAACGCUGGCGGCAGGCCUAACACAUGCAAGUCGAGCGGAUGAAGGGAGCUUGCUCCUGGAUUCAGCGGCGGACGGGUGAGUAAUGCCUAGGAAUCUGCCUGGUAGUGGGGGAUAACGUCCGGAAACGGGCGCUAAUACCGCAUACGUCCUGAGGGAGAAAGUGGGGGAUCUUCGUACCUCACGCUAUCAGAUGAUCCUAGGUCGGAUUAGCUAGUUGGUGGGGUAAAGGCCUACCAAGGCGACGAUCCGUAACUGGUCUGAGAGGAUGAUCAGUCACACUGGAACUGAGACACGGUGCAGACUCCUAAGGGAGGCAGCAGUGGGGAAUAUUGGACAAUGGGCGAAAGCCUGAUCCAGCCAUGCCGCGUGUGUGAAGAAGGUCUUCGGAUUGUAAAGCACUUUAAGUUGGGAGGUAGUGCAGUAAGUUAAUACCUUGCUGUUUUGACGUUACCAACAGAAUAAGCACCGGCUAACUUCGUG
rnacentral:rRNA from 1 species